rnacentral:rRNA from 1 species
CAGAGGGUGCAAGCGUUGUUCGGAAUCACUGGGCGUAAAGCGCGCGCAGGCGGAUGGUUGCGUCCGGAGUGAAAUUUCGCCGCUCAACGGCGAAGCUGCUUUGGAUACGGACCGUCUAGGGACCGGUAGAGGCUGGUAGAAUUGCAGGUGUAGCGGUGGAAUGCGUAGAGAUCUGCAAGAAUACCCGUGGCGAAGGCGGCCAGCUGGGCCGGAUCCGACGCUGAGGCGCGAAAGCGUGGGGAGCAAGCAGGAUUAGAUACCCUGGUAGUCCACGCCGUAAACGAUGGGCACUAGGUGCCGGGGGGAGCGACCCCCUCGGUGCCGCAGCUAACGCGAUAAGUGCCCCGCCUGGGGAGUACGGCCGCAAGGCUG